rnacentral:rRNA from 1 species
CAGUAGCCGCGGUAAUACGGAGGGAGCUAGCGUUGUUCGGAAUUACUGGGCGUAAAGCGCACGUAGGCGGUUAUUCAAGUCAGAGGUGAAAGCCCGGGGCUCAACCCCGGAACUGCCUUUGAAACUAGAUGACUGGAAUCUUGGAGAGGUCAGUGGAAUUCCGAGUGUAGAGGUGAAAUUCGUAGAUAUUUGGAAGAACACCAGUGGCGAAGGCGACUGACUGGACAAGUAUUGACGCUGAGGUGCGAAAGCGUGGGGAGCAAACAGGAUUAGAGACCCCGGUAGUCCCUGUCUCUUAUAC